AGUUAGUUGACGAGUCCCACAUAGGACGAAAUGCGCAUUAUCCUGGAU
rnacentral:hammerhead_ribozyme from 1 species